GGCCCUUUAGCUCAGUGGUCAGAUCAAGCGGCUCAUAACCGUUUUGUCGCUGGUUCAAGUCCUGCAAGGGCCACCA
rnacentral:tRNA from 2 species